UAGGAAAGACAAACAAGCAUUAAUCUUCUUGUGCACAUUAAUUUCAAAAUGAAUUACUAGUAACAUAUUUGUAAGACCAUGUAACCACAUUUUACCACCAAUAAAUGUUGUGAAUCCCAUACAAAGAGGAAAGAAAAGAAAGGGAAAAAGAACUGUCAUAAAAAGAAAAAUUGGCCGUUGAUUGACCAUGUAUGCCCCUUUCAGUAUGGGAAGCCCCAAUUCACUUUCCUCAAAUUUCCCAUUACAUAAAUAACAAAAAGGAAAACAAAAAUUCACAGAGCACAGGUAAUGCAUUAAAAUUUGCAACACCAAACAGAACCAUGAAAGAGGGAGACCCAUAAAUGCAACCAGUAAGUUAGAAGGAACAUUUUUAAAUCAUCCAUGAAUGAAUAUCAAAGAUCGAUAAUUACAGAACAAAUCGAUACGAAUCAAUCUUAAACCAAACAAAACAUGUUUAAUCCACUCAAAGCGGUUAAGAAUAAAGGCUAAAGUUUAUAGACAGCAGAUUUAACAUGUUUUGAAUCUGCUUACAUGCAGAAAAAAUAAAAGACAGUAACAAGGUUGACAGAGAGUUAGAAACCUACCUUUCAGUUACACUAACUCGGAAAUCGGCAGAAAAGAAAAUGAGAAGAAAUAAAGGGAGCAAAUCGGUAGAAAAGAAAAGAAAAUAAACAGAGGGCAGAAAAGAAAAGAAACGGAGGG
rnacentral:lncRNA from 1 species